CAUCAGGCUCCUGACCCAGCACAGAUAACUUCAACAUCAGUCUCCUGACCCAGCACAGAUAACUUCAACAUCAGGCUCCUGACCCGGCACGGAUAACUUCAAGAUCAGACUCCUGACCCAGCACGGGAUAACUUCAACUUCAGUCUCCUGACCUAGCACAGAUAACUUCAAGGAAGAGGGGCACCUGAGGGAGUUGAUGGGCAGGCAUUCACAGUAAAACAAAGGGACACAAUAGGAUCAAUGGGAAAAAACUACACACAGACAGGUACUGACAAAUAACCAAUGAGCAAAAGAAGAGAAACUGUGCAAAGAAUAAAUAAAAAGUAGUAAAUAAUACUGAGUUGUAGAGUUGCUGAAAAUGAGUCCAUAAGGUGUGGAAUCAGUUCAGAGUCAAGGUAUCAUGAUGGCCGCUGGCAAUGACUGAACCCAGGAGUGGCGGAAUGGAGGAGUGGAGGAAUGGCGGAGUGGAGGAGUGGAGGAAUGGCGGACUCCCCUUCAGAGGCGAACGCCAAAGGUUAUACCCAGGAAUACCACCAGAACAUCAGUGGCAUGGACGAGCAACACCGUAAGACAAAUCAUUCUUCACACAAGGACCCCACGAUGAGCACUAGUCAGGAGUCCGAUUUAAAUAUUCACAGAAUGCAGAAAAGCCCAUGAUGUUCACAAUGAACUUGACAGGAUUAAACAGAAAGCAGAAGGGCUUAACGGCUCUAGUUAACAUGACAAUUAGUAAAUACAGGUGCUCAAGAAGCCUGGAAAUCCACGGCAACCCGCAGAGGCCCACAGGGGUCAUGGCAUUGGGUUAUUGAAGUUAUGUGUGCUGAUUCAGGAGCCUGAUGUCGGGAUGCUCUUCAUUGAUUACAGCAGAACCUUCAACACUAUCACCCCAUCAAAACUAAUCAAUAAGCUCCAAGACCCGGGACUCGAUACCUCCUUGUGCAAUAGGAUUCUUGAAUGCCUCACAUGCUCACCCCAGUCAGUUCAGAUUGGCACCAUUGGCACUGGAGAACCACAAGACUUAGUGCUUAGCCCCCCUGCUCUACUCGCUUUUUACUUACGGCUGUGAGGCUAAGCAGUCACCAGGGAGUGAUGGAGAAAGUCCAGCCCUUCCCACCACACCCCACAGGGUCCUGAGGUUUGUUUUUGCCUCCUAAAAAUAAGCUUUAUUCAAAAGACAUCCAGGAAUACAAUGAGGACACAUCAUUCUCAUCAAUCACUGCAAGAAGAAAUUCAAUGCAUUGGCUUUCAGUGGAUCAACGCCAGCAUUGUUACAUCCUGAAAAAUUUCAUCGCUGAAGUACUUAUUUAUUCAUUUAGAGAUACAACGCAGAACAGGCCCUUCCAGCCUAGUGAGCUGUGCUGGCCAGCAGCCCACCUUUUAAUCCCAGCCUGAUCACAGGACCUUAAGGUUCCUUAAGGUCGUCAUAGACAGGGUUGUCAUGGGGACAAGAUCCCACUGCCUAUUAAAUGCUCCCAAUGAUUAUAGAUAGCAUUUCAGAAAGCCUCUGACAACCAAGUCCAGCUCCUGGCCUUCACAUGUGGCUUAGCUAUUGAACCUGGCUGAAUUGUUUCUACUGACAGGAAAAGGGGCAAACUGGCUCCUUAAAACAAAUCGCUUCAGGCAUCGAGGGCAGCUCGUCUCGGAGAAGGAAAACUCUGACCUCAAAUCUCCGCUGUCUUGCAGCUAUACCCACUCAUGGGGGAGGCUUCAAGCGCAAAACCCGAGGAAAAUCCAGAGCUGGAAUCCCUAUGUUGGUUUCGACGCUGACUGGCAACUCCUGCAGUGCUGUUGGUGUCAAACAGUGGUGGUCUCUGCCAUUCCUUCAGGAGAGGGGGAGUCUGCUACGUGGGCAACAGCUUGCUCCCCAUAAUGUACUGAUGGCUGACCCCGACCAAUGGAGGGCCUCAAAUCACAAGACAAUUUACAAUCUCCAAUUAACCCAUUAACCCGUAUGUCUUUUGGAAUGUAGGGGAAAACAGGAUCAGUCAGAGGAAACACGCACGGUCAUAGGGAGAACGUACAAACUCCUUAUAGAUGGUGCUGGAAUUGAACUCUGAACUCCGAUGCCCCGAGCUGUAAUAACAUUGCACUAAGCGCUACACUGCCACAGAACCCGGCCCCUCUGUGUCCUGUUCAGAACAGUUCCUACCCCUCUGCCAUCAGGUUCCUGAACGGUUGAUGAAAACUGAGAUGAGAGGCCUAGGUGAGGAUGGUGAGGAUUCACGUUCUAGAGUAUCAGAGAGUAGAACUCAUACACGAUUUUGAGACUGAGACAAGAACAGGGUUCUUGACCAGAGAUGAUGAGACUAGACAAAAAUCCAAACAAGACAGAAAUCCUAAACGCAAUUGUAGACGGAACCAAAGUUGAGCUGACAACUGAGCCCCGAACCUGAGGUCAGGUGCUCUGUAAAUAUGCAAAGCUUGGUGCUGAAACGUGGCUGCCCAUUAGCGGAGCAGGCUAGAAUUCUUGAAGGGACCGUGCCAGCUACCCAUGUUUCGGAGCAUCAGAGCACCCUAAACCCGGAGGAUGGCACAAUUGGGUGCAUACUGUAACACACCACCUCAGUGCUCCCUCCCCACCACUACCCCCUGUGAUCCCUGCAGUGAUGGUGCCUCAGCUGCUGUUUGCCUCCAGUAUUUUGUGUGUUUAACUACCUCGUUUGUUUAUUUUUGUAACUUGUGGUAAUUUUUAUGACUUGCACUGUACCGCUGUUGCAAAACAACACACAACAUACAUCGGUGAUAAUAAACCUGACUCAGUAGCACCCAUAAGAUACUGGAGCUGAAUUAGGCUAUUCGGCCCCAGACAGUGCUCCUUUCCCACAGUGUGUCUCUCAGUAUGUAUGCCAGUAGCUGGAAUUUGACUCUCAAUCGAGCUUGCCUGAGGAGCUGACAGAGAGAGUGUUAGGGACAGACACACGAGAUGCCCAAUGCAUCACUAGCACCGGCGUACCCACCAUCAAGGGCAUAUAUACAGAAGGGUGUCAGAAAAGGGCCAGUAACAUCAUGAAGGAUCCCACCCACCCUGCUCAUGGACUGUUUGUCUCUCUCCCAUCAGGGAGGAGGCUAUGUAGGACCACCAAACAGUUGCUCUCCUCAGGUAGUAAGACUGAUCAACACCUCCACCCAGUAACCCACCCCUCCACACCCCAACCACCACUACUUUAUCACUUCCUGUCGGUCACCUUAUGUAUAGACUCUCCUGCACCUGGCAUCACUUUAUGGACAUACAAUCAGUUGAUGUAUAUAAGCUAUCUUGUGUAUUUAUAUUUAUUGUGUUUUUUAUUAUUGUGUUCUUUAUCUUACUGAGAUUUUUUGUUCUCCUUUACGUAAGUGUAGUGGAUAUUACAUUAAACAAAUUACAUUACAAAUGACACAGUUAUACAACACAUAAACAGGCCGUUAGCCCAUUGAGUCAGCCUGGUAGUCAGCCACCCAUCAACUGCCCUUCACCUCCACACUAGCAGAAACAAAUUAAUCCGAUAAGCACCAGGGGAAACUCCUGGGGGUCACACAGACAGCGCUGGAGGUCAGUAUCGAACCCGGGCCUCUAGGGUUGAGAGGCAGUAGCUCUACUAGCUGAGCCACUGGGCCCAGUCCAGUCAAUGUUCACCGACAGAGUUGAGGGACUCUUCCUCGGUUUUGUGACUGUGGGUCAGCCACCUGGUGUAGAAACCAACUCUCUCUCUCUUCCACUCUCAGCAACACCUCAUAUUCUGCCUAGGAAGCCUCCAACCUGAUGGCAUGAACAUUGAUUUCUCCGACUUCCUCUAAAUUUGUUCCCCUCCUCCUUCCCUCUUCUUCUAUCCCCACUCUGGCCUCUUACCUCUUCUCCUCACCUACCUAUCACCUCCUCUCCCCGGUGACCUCUUUCUUCCUUUGGUCCAUUCUCUCCUCGAAUCAGAUUCCGACUUCUGUACCUUUCCCACCUAUCACCUCCCAGCUUCUUACUUAAUCUUCACCCCACUCCCCCACCCACCUGGCUUCACCUAUCACCUUCCAGUUUAUCCUCCUUCCCCACCCCCAUCAAUGUCUGUAUUCUGGCACCUUCCCAACAUCCCCCUCCCCGCUUACUUUUCAGUCGUGAUGAAGGGUCUUGGCCAGAAACUUUGACUGUUCAUUCUCGUCCAUAGGUGCUGCCUGACCCAACACCACUAGUAUAACUUCUUCCACCACCUGAAGCACCCACCACUCUCGUGUAAAAGAUGCCCCCCCACACCUCCUUUAAACUUUCUCCCUCACCUUGACUUGAUGGGCUGAAUGGCCUAAUUCUGCUCCUAUGUCUUAUGGGCUUAUGGUCAACAUAUACUCCAGCAACACAGGCAAAACACUGGAGGAACUCAGCAUGUUAGGAGCCAUCAAUGGAAAGAGGACAGAGUGGCGAAUAGAAGAAGAGGGGAGGGGAAGCAUUUUUUUCCACUGGAAGGAGAAAUCGAUAUUCAUGCCAUCAGUUUGGAGGCUAGCCAGAUGGAAUUAAAGUGUUUCUCCUCCACUCUGAGGGUAGCCUCAUCUUUGGCACAAGACGGUAACAUGACCAGCUGCAUGUGCUUAUGAAUAUCUCUGUCCACUGGAAGACCAGAGGUUCUGGGUACAGCAGAGAGCACCAGCGUGGCGUUACUGGCACAGGCAGACAGCUCUGGGUCAGAGGUUGAGGGAACAGAACCCUAGUGGAAUGGACGGUGUCCCAAACAUCCUGCAAUGGAUUUGCCUGUGCAGUCUGUUGGCAUUGUUCUGUCUGCCCUUUGCUUCCUAAAAGAGAAGGUUCCUCUAAAUCUGUGUAUUGUUAUAACAUAAUCGAGAAUUUAUGGCACAUGUUGAGGAACUGUACCUUGGCAGGUUGUCAGAAAUGUAAAAUGACUUCCAACCUGUAAACCACUUCAUUGGUUUUCUUUGAAGCUGGGUUUACAUAGAAAACAACCACUUCCAAGGUGGUUUGGGCUGUCAGGCUGGUUAGCUGGAGGUCCUCCAACACCAGCAACUGUUGAUGAUGGCAUCCAUCAGUCUCGAAGGACAGUGGAGUGUGCUCUCCAGGGCACAAGCCUGGGCUGAAGGUAAGGAGGUCCUGGAAUGGCCAGUUGUGAAGAUCCCACUCUCGUCCUCACUGGUGUAGUCCACAGGAAACUGAAGCGAUACGUUUGGCACCAGCUUGGCUGCAGGAGCUGCUGGAAGAAUGUCCGGCUGCCUUGGGAGCUCCAUUCUGGACCUCCUGCCUGGGUUUACUCCUGUGACCUUCGUCUCUCCCUCAAAGGACAGCGAUGGAUAACUGCUGCAAUUGAACAGCAAAAACUCCGCCACAGACAGUCCCAAGCCCGGCUGUGAGAGGAGGAGGUCUGGGCAUGGGGCCAGCAACCCCAUCCUGUGAAAACCUAGUGCUACCUAGUGCAAGCAAGUCUCCAGCGAUAUACAGAACGAGAACUGCCAAAGGUGCAAGCUGACAGAGGCACCAGAGACCAAAUUACUAACCCAUGCUGGAUAAUGGAAAAAUCGAGGGAAUUCCAGGGAAGCAUUUAUUUAUGUUUUAUUGACUCCUCUAAAGCCUUCAACAGCAUGGACCACAAUAAACUAUGGCAAAUGCUUAAAGACAUGGGGAUACCUGGACGUCUGAUCUGCUCUAUGAGAAACUUGGACUCAGAUUAAGAUGCAACAGUUAGAACUGAACACGGAAGAACAAACUGGUUCAGGAUUGGAAAAGGAGUACGACAAGGCUGCAUAUUGCCACCCUACUUAUUUAAUCUAUAUGCUGAACACAUCAUGAGGAAUGCUGGUCUAGAGGACUCAAAUGUUGGAAUCAAAAUUGCUGGACGAAAUAUUAACAACCUCAGAUAUGUGGAUGAUACUACUCUAAUGGCUGAAAGUGAGGAAGCUUCUAAUCAAAGUGAAAGAAGAAGGUGCAAAAGCUGAUUCAAUAUUAAGAAAACCAAGAUUAUGUCGACCAGCCCUAUUAGCUCCGUGGUAAUUAAUGGAAAGGAAGUGGAAGCAAUGACGGAUUUUGUUUUCCUCUGUUCAAAGAUUUCUAUAGAUGGUAACUGCAGCCACAAAAUUAAACACCGCUUACUUCUGGGCAGAGCAGCAAUAGCAAUACUGAAGAGUAGAGACAUAACAUCGUCUACGAAGAUCUGUAUAGUCAAGUCUAUAGUACUUCCAGUUGUGAUGUACGGCUGUGAGAGCUUGACUAUUAGUAAGGCUGCAGUAAAUAUUCUGGCCACAUCGUGAGAAGAGGAAAUUCCUUGGAGAAAACUCUCAUGUUAGGUAAAACAGGAGAGGAUGACAGAGGCUACGAUGGAUACAUGAUAUUACUCAGACAAUGUGUAUGACCCUGGGGGAUCUUAGAGAGGCAAUUUCCAGUAAGAAGGCUUAGUGUGCAGGAGUCCAUGAGGUCACGAAGAGUCGGACUUGACUGAACAACCGAACAACAGCAACAGAGACACCAACACUAGCUCUGGCACACCCUACCCUCUCACCAGGUGUGUAACGGCGCAGUAAUGGAAAUGUUUGUGCACACACAGCCUUUGUAGCCACACAGCUGGAAUUUUCUUUCAUGUAAUGCUAACAUAAUUUUGAAAUCUCUGUUAAUAUGGUUGUGAAAUACUCUGUAAUUAUGUAUUAAUGAAUUUAAUCCAUAAAUUUUCUAAAUUAUAAAUGUGCCACAACCUUUACUUUGAAAUAUUUUAAAGCUUCAAAAUAUUUACAUUGUUAGUGU